GACAACCGAUUUGUUUAAGUUUUCGAUCAUUGGCUGGAACGGCCUCUUAAGGUUAAUUGUAAAAGAAAAAAAGAAACAUUUUACGUGAUGUCUCAAGACGAAAAUAUUGUCAAAGCUGUUGAAGAAUCCGCAGAACCUGCUCAAGUUAUUCUUGGGGAAGAUGGUAAGCCAUUGUCCAAGAAGGCCUUGAAGAAAUUGCAGAAAGAGCAAGAGAAACAGAGAAAGAAGGAGGAAAGAGCUCUCCAGUUGGAAGCUGAAAGAGAAGCCCGUGAAAAGAAAGCCGCUGCCGAAGACACCGCAAAGGACAACUACGGUAAGUUGCCAUUGAUCCAGUCUCGUGACUCUGACAGAACUGGUCAGAAGCGUGUCAAGUUUGUUGACUUGGAUGAGGCUAAGGAUAGCGACAAAGAAGUCCUCUUCAGGGCAAGAGUCCACAACACCAGACAACAAGGUGCAACAUUGGCCUUUUUAACUUUAAGGCAACAAGCUUCCUUGAUCCAAGGUCUAGUAAAGGCCAACAAGGAAGGUACCAUCAGCAAAAACAUGGUCAAAUGGGCUGGUUCAUUGAAUUUGGAGUCCAUUGUCCUUGUCAGAGGUAUUGUCAAGAAGGUAGAUGAGCCAAUCAAGUCUGCUACUGUGCAAAACCUGGAAAUUCACAUUACCAAGAUUUAUACCAUUUCCGAGACUCCAGAAGCAUUGCCAAUCCUUUUGGAAGAUGCCUCCCGUUCCGAAGCUGAAGCUGAAGCUGCAGGUUUGCCCGUGGUCAACUUGGACACCAGAUUAGACUACCGUGUCAUUGACUUGAGAACCGUCACCAACCAAGCUAUUUUCAGGAUUCAAGCUGGUGUUUGUGAGUUGUUCAGAGAAUAUUUGGCCACAAAGAAAUUUACCGAAGUACACACACCAAAACUGUUGGGUGCACCAAGUGAAGGUGGUUCCAGUGUGUUUGAGGUGACAUACUUCAAAGGGAAGGCCUACCUAGCUCAAUCUCCACAAUUUAACAAGCAACAAUUGAUUGUGGCCGACUUUGAAAGAGUUUACGAAAUCGGGCCUGUGUUCAGGGCUGAAAACUCCAACACCCACCGUCACAUGACCGAGUUUACUGGUUUGGACAUGGAAAUGGCUUUCGAAGAACAUUACCACGAAGUUUUGGACACGUUGAGUGAGUUGUUUGUGUUUAUUUUCAGUGAAUUGCCCAAGAGAUUUGCUCAUGAAAUUGAGUUGGUACGUAAGCAAUACCCUGUUGAAGAAUUCAAGUUACCUAAAGAUGGUAAGAUGGUUCGUCUAACAUACAAAGAAGGUAUUGAAAUGCUAAGAGCUGCCGGUAAGGAAAUUGGUGAUUUUGAAGACUUGAGUACCGAAAAUGAAAAGUUCUUGGGUAAGUUGGUUCGCGACAAAUACGACACCGACUUUUACAUCCUAGACAAGUUCCCCUUGGAGAUCCGUCCCUUCUACACAAUGCCCGACCCAGCCAACCCUAAGUAUUCUAACUCGUAUGAUUUCUUCAUGAGGGGUGAAGAAAUCUUGUCCGGUGCACAACGUAUCCACGACCAUGCUCUAUUACAAGAAAGGAUGAAAGCCCAUGGUUUGUCUCCUGAGGACCCAGGUCUAAAGGACUACUGUGACGGCUUCAGCUAUGGGUGUCCUCCACACGCCGGUGGUGGUAUCGGUUUGGAAAGAGUUGUUAUGUUCUAUUUGGAUUUGAAAAAUAUCAGAAGAGCUUCAUUGUUCCCAAGAGAUCCAAAGAGAUUAAGACCAUGAAGGAGUCUCCUCCAACGUUUUUAUGUAGCGAGUGAAGGUAAAAAAAUUUUCAACAUUUCUAAUUUUUUCCUGUCACCCACUUUUAUUUUAACUGAAUUAUUAUAUUUAGCUUUACACAUAUAAGUCUCAACGUCUGACAUAUGUCACACUUUCUUUA
rnacentral:precursor_RNA from 1 species